CCUCUCGUAGCUCAGUGGUCAGAGCACUGGCGCGUAAAGCUAAAGGUCCCGGGUUCGAUUCCGGGCGAAGGGU
rnacentral:tRNA from 1 species